UAGCUCAGUGGUAGAGCAUUUGCCUGUCAUGCACAAGUCCCUGGGUUCAAUCCCCAG
rnacentral:tRNA from 1 species